rnacentral:rRNA from 1 species
AAUCAACGCUGGCGGCGUGCCUAACACAUGCAAGUCGAACGCGAAAGCCCCGCAAGGGGUAAGUAGAGUGGCGAACGGGUGAGUAACACGUGGGUGACCUGCCUUCGAGUGGGGGAUAACGUCCCGAAAGGGACGCUAAUACCGCAUGACACCCUGCUUUUUAAGAGGUGGAGAUCAAAGCCGGGGAUCGCAAGACCUGGCGCUUGAAGAGGGGCCCGCGCCUGAUUAGCUAGUUGGUGGGGUAAGGCUCACCAAGGCAACGAUCAGUAUCCGGCCUGAGAGGGCGGACGGACACACUGGGACUGAGACACGGCCAGACUCCUACGGGAGGCAGCAGUGGGGAAUUGUUCGCAAUGGGCGCAAGCCUGACGACGCAACGCCGCGUGGAGGAUGAAGACCUCGGUC